UAGUUUCGGAUUUGAGAGUCCUAGCUA
rnacentral:piRNA from 1 species